AUGGAACUUCUCAGCCUCCGUAACUGCGUGAGCAGUAUCUUAUUACAUAUAUUGGCUCUGUUUCGCUGGAGAACCAUGACGAAUACACCUACCACAGUGAAUGAAUGGGAGAAUUUCAUUAGCAGAACCCAUUACAGGUUCUUAGAACAAAUAAAAGUGAUCGUGUGCUCUACAAAAUAUAAAAGCACGCAAACUGACUUCUCAGCAAAAGCAAAUUGCACCUCCGUAAAUGUGUAUCACAGACUUCGUGGAGCACGGUGGAGAGAGGCCUCUGCCCCCCUUCCUGUGGGCUCCUUACAGGCUUUGGGAGAAGAAAGUGUCUUUGUCAUCUGUGACUUGCCAUCGCCUCGCCCAGGAUCUCGCGCCAAGUAGGUAUGUGGUUAUGGGAUUGCUGUGAUCACAGUCAUUUUACAGUUAAGAAAACAGUGUCAAACACAG
rnacentral:lncRNA from 1 species